rnacentral:rRNA from 1 species
AUUGAACGCUGGCGGCAUGCCUUACACAUGCAAGUCGAACGGUAACAGGUCUUCGGAUGCUGACGAGUGGCGCACGGGUGAGUAAUACAUCGGAACGUGCCCGAUCGUGGGGGAUAACGAGGCGAAAGCUUUGCUAAUACCGCAUACGAUCUACGGAUGAAAGCGGGGGAUCUUCGGACCUCGCGCGGCCGGAGCGGCCGAUGGCAGAUUAGGUAGUUGGUGGGAUAAAAGCUUACCAAGCCGACGAUCUGUAGCUGGUCUGAGAGGAUGAUCAGCCACACUGGGACUGAGACACGGCCCAGACUCCUACGGGAGGCAGCAGUGGGGAAUUUUGGACAAUGGGCGAAAGCCUGAUCCAGCCAUGCCGCGUGCAGGAUGAAGGCCUUCGGGUUGUAAACUGCUUUUGUACGGAACGAAAAGCCUCUUUCUAAUAAAGAGGGGUCAUGACGGUACCGGAAGAAUAAGCACCGGCUAACUACGUG